GUAGGUGAACCUGCGGAAGGAUCAUUACCGAGCGAGGGUCUCCGGGCCCGAACCUCCACCCUUGAUUAUCCACCUGUUGCUUCGGCGGCCCUGGCCGCCGGAGGACCCCCCCCGGGCCUGUCCCCGGGGGUGAAACCCGACGUCUUGCAGUCUGAGAGAAAACACAAUAGUCAAAACUUUCAACAACGGAUCUCUUGGUUCUG
rnacentral:misc_RNA from 1 species